GACCAUCACUUCCUCUCCAUCUAUGAAAACUUUUCUUUCUUUAGCCACAACCACCACCAUCACCAUCACACAACCACAAUAUCUACUGAUACAAAAGCUACCGUUUCCUUCAUAUCUAUGAUCGUUGCUUCUUCUGUAACUACUACCAUAGUCACUACCACCAUAAUCACCAUCAUCGCCAAUGCCAUAAUUACCAUCACUAUAACAACGUGACACGUGAUCUUUAUGUGUCAUCAC
rnacentral:lncRNA from 1 species